rnacentral:sRNA from 3 species
GUGUACGUCGGUACAUGCCGAUUCCGAGCACCGGCCGCGCCCGCCUGGCGGCUGCUCGCUACGUGUUAUCAGCC